GAUGAACGCUGGCGGCGUGCCUAAUACAUGCAAGUCGAGCGAACGGACGAGAAGCUUGCUUCUCUGAUGUUAGCGGCGGACGGGUGAGUAACACGUGGAUAACCUACCUAUAAGACUGGGAUAACUUCGGGAAACCGGAGCUAAUACCGGAUAAUAUUUUGAAACGCAUGGUUCAAAAGUGAAAGACGGUCUUGCUGUCACUUAUAGAUGGAUCCGCGCUGCAUUAGCUAGUUGGUAAGGUAACGGCUUACCAAGGCAACGAUGCAUAGCCGACCUGAGAGGGUGAUCAGCCACACUGGAACUGAGACACUGUCCAGACUCCUACGGGAGGCAGCAGUAGGGAAUCUUCCGCAAUGGGCGAAAGCCUGACGGAGCAACGCCGCGUGAGUGAUGAAGGUCUUCGGAUCGUAAAACUCUGUUAUUAGGGAAGAACAUAUGUGUAAGUAACUGUGCACAUCUUGACGGUACCUAAUCAGAAAGCCACGGCUAACUACGUG
rnacentral:rRNA from 1 species